UACGAAGGGGGCUAGCGUUGCUCGGAAUCACUGGGCGUAAAGGGUGCGUAGGCGGGUCUUUAAGUCAGGGGUGAAAUCCUGGAGCUCAACUCCAGAACUGCCUUUGAUACUGAAGAUCUUGAGUCCGGGAGAGGUGGGUGGAACUGCGAGUGUAGAGGUGAAAUUCGUAGAUAUUCGCAAGAACACCAGUGGCGAAGGCGGCUCACUGGCCCGGUACUGACGCUGAGGCACGAAAGCGUGGGGAGCAAACAGG
rnacentral:rRNA from 1 species